rnacentral:rRNA from 1 species
AGUGAACGCUGGCGGUAGGCCUAACACAUGCAAGUCGAACGGCAGCACAGUAAGACUUUCCCCUUACGUGUGGCGUGUCGGACAGGUGUGGAGUACACGGCGAUCUGUCCUGUUGCGUGGGGUAACACAGGGGAACUUACGCUCUUAUCCCACGCGCCACCCGGGGGAAAGCGGGGGACCUCUGCGCCUGUCGCGCUAGGGUGUGCCCAUGUGCGAUUAGCUAGUUGGCGGGGUAAAGGCCCACCAAGGCGACGAUCGGUAGCUGGUCUGAGAGGAUGAUCAGCCACACUGGGACUGAGACACGGCCCAGACUCCUACGGGAGGCAGCAGUGGGGAAUAUUGGACAAUGGGCGCAAGCCUGAUCCAGCCAUACCGCGUGAGUGAAGAAGGCCUUCGGGUUGUAAAGCCCUUUUGUCCGGAAAGAAAAGCAGCAGGCUAAUACCUCGGUGUUCUGACGGUACCGAAAGAAUAAGCACCGGCUAACUUCGUG